GACGAACGCUGGCGGCGUGCUUAACACAUGCAAGUCGAACGGAAAGGCCCUGCUUUUGUGGGGUGCUCGAGUGGCGAACGGGUGAGUAACACGUGAGUAACCUGCCCUUGACUUUGGGAUAACUUCAGGAAACUGGGGCUAAUACCGGAUAGGAGCUCCUGCUGCAUGGUGGGGGUUGGAAAGUUUCGGCGGUUGGGGGUGGACUCGCGGCUUAUCAGCUUGUUGGUGGGGUAGUGGCUUACCAAGGCUUUGACGGGUAGCCGGCCUGGGAGGGUGACCGGCCACACUGGGACUGAGAUACGGCCCAGACUCCUACGGGAGGCAGAAGUGGGGAAUAUUGCACAAUGGGCGGAAGCCUGCUGCAGCAACGCCGCGUGCGGGAUGACGGCAUUCGGGUUGUAAACCGCUUUCGCCUGUGACGAAGCGUGAGUGACGGUAAUGGGUAAAGAAGCACCGGCUAACUACGUG
rnacentral:rRNA from 1 species